rnacentral:rRNA from 1 species
UACGUAGGGGGCAAGCGUUGUCCGGAUUUAUUGGGCGUAAAGAGCGCGUAGGCGGCCAGAUAAGUCCGGUGUGAAAGUCACAGGCUCAACCUGUGAAUGCCGCUGGAAACUGUCUGGACUAGAGUCCGGAAGGGGCGAGUGGAAUUCCUGGUGUAGCGGUGAAAUGCGCAGAUAUCAGGAGGAACACCAGUGGCGAAGGCGGCUACCUGGACCAGCACUGACACUGAGGCACGAAAGCGUGGGGAGCAAACAGG